rnacentral:rRNA from 1 species
AUUGAACGCUGGCGGCAGGCCUAACACAUGCAAGUCGAGCGGAUGAAGGGAGCUUGCUCCUGGAUUCAGCGGCGGACGGGUGAGUAAUGCCUAGGAAUCUGCCUGGUAGUGGGGGAUAACGUCCGGAAACGGGCGCUAAUACCGCAUACGUCCUGAGGGAGAAAGUGGGGGAUCUUCGGACCUCACGCUAUCAGAUGAGCCUAGGUCGGAUUAGCUAGUUGGUGGGGUAAAGGCCCACCGAGGCGACCAUCCGUAACUGGUCUGAGAGGAUGAUCAGUCACACUGGAACUGAGACACGGUCCAGACUCCUACGGGAGGCAGCAGUGGGGAAUAUUGGACAAUGGGCGAAAGCCUGAUCCAGCCAUGCCGCGUGUGUGAAGAAGGUCUUCGGAUUGUAAAGCACUUUAAGUUGGGAGGAAGGGCAGUAAGUUAAUACCUUGCUGUUUUGACGUUACCAACAGAAUAAGCACCGGCUAACUUCGUG